CCCUUAGAUGUUCUGGGCUGCACGCGCGUUACACUGAUGCAUUCAACGAGCUUAUAACCUUGGCCGAGAGGCCUGGGCAAUCUUGUUAACGUGCAUCGUGAUAGGGAUAGAUUAUUGAAAUUAUUAAUCUUGAACGAGGAAUUCCUAGUAAACGCAGAUCAUCAAUCUGCAUUGAUUACGUCCCUGCCCUUUGUACACACCGCCCGUCGCACCUACCGAUUGGAUGGUCCGGUGAAGCCUCGGGAUUGUGGUUCUUGCCGCUUUAUUGUGGCGUGACCGCGAGAACUUGUCUAAACCUUNUNAUCUAGNGGAAGGUGAANUCGUANCA
rnacentral:rRNA from 1 species